AGAGGGCUCAAACGUUGUUCGGAAUUACUGGGCAUAAAGCGCACGCAGGCGGCUUGCUAAGUCGGGUGUGAAAUCCCUUGGCUCAACCGAGGAACUGCAUUCGAUACUGGUAGGCUCGAGGACGGGAGGGGUAAGCGGAACUCCAGGUGGAACGGUGAAAUGUGUAGAUAUCUGGAGGAACACCGGUGGCGAAAGCGGCUUACUGGCCCGUAUCUGACGCUCAUGUGCGAAAGCUAGGGGAGCAAACGGGAUUAGAUACCCCGGUAGUCCUAGCUGUAAACGAUGGGCACUGGGCAGUGGGAUUCCUAUGAUUCUCCCUGCCGUAGCAAAUGUGUUAAGUGCCCCGCCUGGGGAGUACGUUCGCAAGGAUA
rnacentral:rRNA from 1 species